rnacentral:rRNA from 1 species
UUGCAGUUAAAAAGCUCGUAGUUGGAUUUCGGAACCGGCCGAUUGGUCCGUCCUCUGGAUCGUGUACUGAUCGGUCUGUUCUUCUUCGCGAAGACCGCGUGUGCUCUUAACUGAGUGGGCGCGGGAUUCGCGACGUUUACUUUGAAAAAAUUAGAGUGUUCAAAGCAGGCAGUCGCUUGAAUAUCUCAGCAUGGAAUAAUAGAAUAGGACUUUGGUCUUAUUUUGUUGGUUUCCGAGACCGAAGUAAUGAUUAAUAGGGACAGUUGGGGGCAUUCGUAUUUCAUUGUCAGAGGUGAAAUUCUUGGAUUUAUGAAAGACGAACUUCUGCGAAAGCAUUUGCCAAGGAUGUUUUCAUUAAUCAAGAACGAAAGUUGGAGGCUCGAAGACGAUCAGAUACCGUCCUAGUUCCAACCAUAAACGAUGCCGUCUGCGGAUCGGAGGUCGCUCAUGUAAGGCUCCUUCGGCACGCUAUGAGAAAUCAAAGACUUCGGGUUCCGGGGGGAGUAUGUUCGCAAGAAUGAAACUUAAAGGAAUUGACGGAAGGGCACACCAGGAGUGGAACCUGC